rnacentral:ncRNA from 2 species
CUCUUAUCGAGAGUGGUGGAGGGACUGGCCCGAUGAAGCCCGGCAACCCGCUCUCCUGGUUUCUCCGGGGGCGACAGGUGCCAAUUCCUGCAGGGCAGAAGGCCCUGAGAGAUAAGGG